UGCGGAUAUGGUCAAAUGGUAAAAUUUCUCU
rnacentral:tRNA from 1 species